UUAAUUAACUGCCAGGUUUUUUUACUGUCACCCUGACACUCCUCAAUUUUGUUGCACGUGUAGAGGCGUUGAGCUAGUCUUAUUACGUGUUUAACUCUCCUACGUUUGUCAGUAAAAUUAGCAUGCUUUUCCCUGGCAUCAUUACAAGGAUUGCAGUGACAGGCUUCCUUGAUCUCACGACAAAGUUUACCUGGAUUAUGCAAACAUUUUUCUCUCUUCGCUUUAUGCCAGUGGUCGUGCAGCUCAUGUUUUUUAUUUAUAGACGCGAUUAAUCCUCCUGUUAUCCACGGAUUUGUCAUUGGCGUUCUUUUGGAGACUUUAGGUUUACUGAGUUUACAUGAUUUGUCUAGAUUCGUUUUGAAUGUGUCGUGAAAUUCAAUAAAGUUUUUUGGUGGGUGCUCAGAGAAAUGUUGGUUUAAGGAUGAAACAAGGACUCGAACGUUGGAUUCACUGUAAUCAUAAUAUUGGGUAUGUUUAACUUGAGGUUCAGAGUUAGUUACAGCUAGGUCUUCAAAAAUAUGAAAAACUGGCAGAUGAUGCGAGAUUCUGUCAGAUACUGUACCUGAGGCAACAACCUUGUUUAUAUCAUUUGUGUAAAUGUUGUCAAUACACGUUUGAUUACAUCCCGGUUUCUCGUGCGUGUGUGUUGAUAUAAGAGGCGAGAAACCGGCACUAAACAUUAUCUCCUCGAGAUUGCUAACUUCUUUACUAUUAACAUGGAGGUUGACGUUAAAAUCUCCCAUUAUAUACGCAGAUUUUUUAGGCAAUAUCUGGAGUAUUCUAGAUAGUUCUGUCAGGAAGCUUGCAAAAUUACCGCUGGGUGGUCGGUAAAUAACCCCAAAAGUUACUUCUUCUGAGUUUUUACGACUAGUUACGAAUAGUGAUUCUAAAUUCUCGGUAACGUCUGACGCAAGUUCGUUCACAAUACUGCUAAGUCUAUCUUGAACAUAUAAUGCUACACCAGUUCCUUUGGAUUUAUUACCUACAGUAUUCUGGUAAAAACUAUUGUAGUUAGGAAUUGAAUACACGGUGCUUUCAUCAGGACCUAUGUUAGUUUCUGAUAAACCUAUUACGGUGAAGUUUUGGUUAAUGCGGUGCAGUUCAGUUAAUAGACUAUCAAAAUUGCUUUUAUUGCCAUCAAUGUUAAGAAAGUAGGAGCUGGAAAACUUUUUAAGAUUUUCUCCAUGCGAUGAGUUGAUUUCAUUAGCAGAAUAAGCUUGGCAUUUGUCUAAGAUUGAGGAUAUUUUAUAUGUUUCGUCAUGUGCAUCUGGUGAGGUUGUGUCAUCUACAAAGUGUUUGAAGGGAUUAUACUUGUGUACUAUUUUAUCUUUGCACGAAAAGCAGUAGAAGUUGUCAUUAAUAAUUUGUGCUUUUGAUUGCGAAAAACACUUUGAGUGGGCAAUACAAUUACAUCUACUGCACUCAAACAUCGGCUGACCUAUGUAAACGUUUUUCAGGCAAUGGUUACAGUUUUCUCUCAAAAUUUUGUUGAUCAUACCUGACGACCAUCAGGACUAGUGCAACAAAUCAAGUCUACCGCGGUUAUCAAGUUUCUUCGACAGCCUCUCAGACAGCAACAUGUUGCGAUCUAAGAAGUCAUCGAGACCGCGGACAUGUGAUACACCCAAACCAGGCUGAUCCAAAUCACGGAAUAUACAUUGUUGAUACCACAAGAUACUACGAUGUUGUUGUAGCCACAGCACCACUCAGGCUUGAUGUCCUCCAUUGUAGCGGCCCAGAACCGUUGACCCGGCA